rnacentral:rRNA from 1 species
UACGGAGGGUGCAAGCGUUAUCCGGAUUCACUGGGUUUAAAGGGUGCGUAGGUGGGCUAGUAAGUCAGUGGUGAAAUCUCCGGGCUUAACCCGGAAACUGCCAUUGAUACUAUUAGUCUUGAAUACCAUGGAGGUGGGCGGAAUAUGUCAUGUAGCGGUGAAAUGCUUAGAUAUGACAUAGAACACCAAUUGCGAAGGCAGCUCGCUACGCGGUUAUUGACACUGAGGCACGAAAGCGUGGGGAUCAAACAGG